rnacentral:rRNA from 1 species
GAUGAACGCUAGCGGCAGGCUUAACACAUGCAAGUCGAGGGGUAUAGUUCUUCGGAGCUAGAGACCGGCGCACGGGUGCGUAACGCGUAUGCAAUCUACCUUUUGCAGAGGGAUAGCCCAGAGAAAUUUGGAUUAAUACCUCAUAGUAUGUGAGAAUGGCAUCAUUUUCACAUUAAAGUCACAACGGCAAAAGAUGAGCAUGCGUCCCAUUAGCUUAUUGGUAAGGUAACGGCUUACCAAGGCAACGAUGGGUAGGGGUCCUGAGAGGGAGAUCCCCCACACUGGUACUGAGACACGGACCAGACUCCUACGGGAGGCAGCAGUGAGGAAUAUUGGACAAUGGGCGCAAGCCUGAUCCAGCCAUGCCGCGCGCAGGAUGACGGUCCUAUGGAUUGUAAACUGCUUUUGUACAGGAAGAAACACUGGUUCGUGAACCAGCUUGACGGUACUGCAAGAAUAAGGAUCGGCUAACUCCGUGCCAGCCGCCGCCGUAAGAC